rnacentral:rRNA from 1 species
GACGAACGCUGGCGGCGUGCCUAAUACAUGCAAGUUGAGCGAUGAAGCUUGGUGCUUGCACCAAUUUGCAGAGCAGCGAACGGGUGAGUAACGCGUGGGGAAUCUGCCUUUGAGCGGGGGACAACAUUUGGAAACGAAUGCUAAUACCGCAUAACAACUUUAAACAUAAGUUUUAAGUUUGAAAGAUGCAAUUGCAUCACUCAAAGAUGAUCCCGCGUUGUAUUAGCUAGUUGGUGAGGUAAAGGCUCACCAAGGCGAUGAUACAUAACCGACCUGAGAGGAUGAACAGCCAAAAUGGGACUGGCACACGGCCCAAACGCCUGCAGGGGGCAGCAGUAGGGAAUCUUCGGACAUGGAAGAAAGUCUGACCGAGCAACGCCGGGUGAGUGAAGAAGGUUUUCGGAUCGUAAAACACUGUUGGUAGAGAAGAACGUUGGUGGGAGUGGAAAGCUCAUCAAGUGACGGUAACUACCCAGAAAGGGACGGCUAACUACGUG